AGAGCAGCCACCACAGGUUUGUACCCAAGAGGGCUGCAUUUCACUUGCCCAGUGGGAGGUUUAACUUGUUUUGAAAUUUUUUGGCACAGGGAUGCAAGAUAGUGCUGGCCUGUUGGAGAAGAGCCUCGGUGACUGAACACUGGGAAGAUCUGGAUUUCUCAAAUCUGAGGAAUGAAAGGGCAGUGCGUUCUACUGAACAGCAAAGACCCAAAUCCCAGGUCCCCUCUGUGUCCCACCUCUUGGGUGGGACACCUGGGGUGAAUCAGCAAGUCAGGCCCGCAGAGCGAGGACUCCUGGCCAUAGCGGCUUAGCGUCUGGAGGGCCCGCAGUGUUCUGGGAGUGUAACCGGGCAUAUACAGGGCGCAAGAGCUCAGCAGUGGUGAUGGAAAGUAAUAGUACCUACGAGGACCUAAGGCCAGGCCUUCUCCGGUUACCUCGGACCAGAUGCCGUGCUCCUAGCUCGAGGCAGCCCUGCUGUGAGGGCAGCAGCCCCACAGACGGAGGACUGUUUCCUCAGCAGAACCAUCGACUGCCUGCUCUGCGCUUGCAGAAGCGAUUGGACACACUGCUUUUUCAUGGCAGAACCUCAGAUAUUCAGAGACAACCGUCCCAUCCUUUGUUGCCAUCUCUUCUCCAGGUAAACAGUAGCUUUCGAUGCCUGUAGUCUUUGAAGCAGUCUGCAGUCUAGGAGCCUGUGCGAACUGUGAGAGUUCCUGACAUCAAAAAUGUUUUAACUUUCCUUGGAAACCUUGUCUAGAUUCAGGACGAGGCACCCUGCGACCGGCA
rnacentral:lncRNA from 1 species